rnacentral:rRNA from 1 species
UGCGAAGGGGGCUAGCGUUGCUCGGAAUCACUGGGCGUAAAGCGCACGUAGGCGGAUCUUUAAGUCAGGGGUGAAAUCCCGGAGCUCAACUCCGGAACUGCCUUUGAUACUGGAGAUCUUGAGUCCGGGAGAGGUGAGUGGAACUGCGAGUGUAGAGGUGAAAUUCGUAGAUAUUCGCAAGAACACCAGUGGCGAAGGCGGCUCACUGGCCCGGUACUGACGCUGAGGUGCGAAAGCGUGGGGAGCAAACAGG